GAUGAACGCUAGCUACAGGCUUAACACAUGCAAGUCGCAGGGUAACAUGAGGAAAGCUUGCUUUCCUUGAUGACGACUGGCGCACGGGUGAGUAACGCGUAUCCAACCUUCCCAUAACUACGGGAUAACCCGUUGAAAGACGGCCUAAUACCGUAUGAUAUCGUUUGCUGACAUCAAAUAACGAUUAAAGGUUUAGCGGUUAUGGAUGGGGAUGCGUCUGAUUAGCUUGUUGGCGGGGUAACGGCCCACCAAGGCGACGAUCAGUAGGGGUUCUGAGAGGAAGGUCCCCCACAUUGGAACUGAGACACGGUCCAAACUCCUACGGGAGGCAGCAGUGAGGAAUAUUGGUCAAUGGGCGAGAGCCUGAACCAGCCAAGUAGCGUGCAGGAUGACGGCCCUAUGGGUUGUAAACUGCUUUUAUGUGGGGAUAAAGUGCGUGACGUGUCAUGCAUUGCAGGUACCACAUGAAUAAGGACCGGCUAAUUCCGUGCCAGCAGCCGCGGUAA
rnacentral:rRNA from 1 species